UACAGAGGGUGCGAGCGUUAAUCGGAAUUACUGGGCGUAAAGCGUGCGUAGACGGUUAUUUAAGUCGGGUGUGAAAGCCCCGGGCUCAACUCAAGAAAUGCACUCGGUACUGGGUGACUAGAGGACCGGAGAGGAUAGUGGAAUUCCCAGUGUAGUGGUGAAAUACGUAGAGAUUGGGAAGAACACCAGUGGCGAAGGCGGCUAUCUGGACGGUUUCUGACGCUAAGACGCGAAAGCGUGGGGAGCAAACAGG
rnacentral:rRNA from 1 species